UGCCAGCAGCCGCGGUAAUACGGAGGGUGCAAGCGUUAUUCGGAAUCAUUGGGCGUAAAGGGCGCGUAGGCGGUAUAUCAAGUCAGAUGUGAAAUCCCGGGGCUUAACUCCGGAGGGUCAUUUGAAACUGGUAUACUUGAGUUCGGUAGAGGAAAGCGGAAUUCCUGGUGUAGCGGUGAAAUGCGUAGAUAUCAGGAGGAACAUCAGUGGCGAAGGCGACUUUCUGGCCCGAGACUGACGCUGAUGCGCGAAGGCGUGGGGAGCGAACGGGAUUAGAUA
rnacentral:rRNA from 1 species